rnacentral:tRNA from 1 species
UCUGAAAUAGCUCAGUUAGUAGAGCGUCAGACUAUAAGUCGAAAGGUCCUUGGUUCGAUUCCGGGUUCCGGCA